rnacentral:rRNA from 1 species
AUUGAACGCUGGCGGCAUGCCUUACACAUGCAAGUCGAACGGCAGCACGGGUGCUUGCACCUGGUGGCGAGUGGCGAACGGGUGAGUAAUACAUCGGAACAUGUCCUGUAGUGGGGGAUAGCCCGGCGAGAGCCGGAUUAAUACCGCAUACGAUCUACGGAUGAAAGCGGGGGACCUUCGGGCCUCGCGCUAUAGGGUUGGCCGAUGGCUGAUUAGCUAGUUGGUGGGGUAAAGGCCUACCAAGGCGACGAUCAGUAGCUGGUCUGAGAGGACGACCAGCCACACUGGGACUGAGACACGGCCCAGACUCCUACGGGAGGCAGCAGUGGGGAAUUUUGGACAAUGGGCGAAAGCCUGAUCCAGCAAUGCCGCGUGUGUGAAGAAGGCCUUCGGGUUGUAAAGCACUUUUGUCCGGAAAGAAAUCCUUGGCCCUAAUACGGUCGGGGGAUGACGGUACCGGAAGAAUAAGCACCGGCUAACUACGUG